AACGAACGCUGGCGGCAUGGCUAAGACAUGCAAGUCGUACGGAACUCGUAGCAAUACGAGUUUAGUGGCGGAAGGGUGAGUAAUAAAUGGGUAACGUACCUUGAACUUGGGAACAACAGUUCGAAAGGACUGCUAAUGCCCAAUGAAGUCGCUGAAUCGCAUGGUUCGACGACCAAAGCCGGGGAUCGCAAGACCUGGCGGUUUUUGUAGCGGCCCGACUUU
rnacentral:rRNA from 1 species